GACGAACGCUGGCGGCGUGCUUAACACAUGCAAGUCGAGCGGAGCGGCGUACGGGUGAGUAACGCGUGAGUAACUGCCCCCCUCUCUGGGAUAACAGUUGGAAACGGCUGCUAAUACCGGAUAGUGGGGGAUGCCUCGCGCCCUAUCUGCUUGUUGUUGGGGUAUUGGCCUACCAAGGCGACGACGGGUGGCCGGCCUGAGAGGGCGACCGGCAACAUUGGGCUAGGAUACGGGCGCAACUCCAACGUGAGGCAGCAGUGGGGAAUAGUGCACAAUGGGGGGAACCCUGAUGCAGCGACGCCGCGUGCGGGAUGACGGCCGUCGGGUUGUAACCCGCUUUCAGCCAUUACGCGGUAGUGGCAGAAGAAGCACCGGCUAACUACGUGCCAGCCGCCGCGGUAAUUC
rnacentral:rRNA from 1 species